AUCCUCACGGUUGAGAAUGCCCUUUAAGGGAGAAGAACCACAAGUCUGUGAACUAGCUGCAGAGUCUCGCUUCUCAGAACCUGGAGUCUUGAUUUUUAAGAGCAAUUUUUAUAUCUUAAGUAAAUCAAAUUAAUUCCCAGAAGAACUGAUACAAAUACUUGUUUAAAACAGCCACAAAAUCUCAGAGGCAUAUGACAACAAAAUAUUCAUAUAGCUCAAGAAACUAGGGGUUGAGCAUCAAGGCUUCUGAAGCCUGGGCUUGGAGCUGGCACACUUUCUUUCACUCUUAUCUCAUUCUGUUGGCCAAACUCUAAGUCGAAGGACUCAACUUUACGAGAGUAAGUGCAAUGUCAUGUUGCAAAGAAGGAAAAUACGAGGAGGAGUGAAGGUCGGGUCUUCGAGGCACUCUACCACACCAAUGGUGUAAAAUUUAGAUGGCAAGUCCAACUUUCUAGUUACUGUUCUUACCAUUGGAGGCGUGGAACUGCUUUCCUUAUUUAGAUCCUCGGAAGCUUACGGAGAAGUCUUUGAAAGACUUUUUCUUUUUUAAUUGACCAUAAACUACUUAUGUAAAUGGACACUCAAUCCAUAAAACUUUACUUUUGUCAAAUUUCCAAGUCAGUUAUUUAAGCCAGUUCAUUAUCUACCUCCCAAAGGAUGUUCAAAAAAACUCCCCAAACCAUCUCUUUAUAGUGCUCACUGCAAAUGAUGAGGGAGUUAGACAAGGUUGGUCUCGAAAGUAUUUUCAUGCAGAUAAAUUUACUGGAUAGUUAAUAGAGUAAGAAUAGUAAUUAUAAAGUAUAUUAUUAUACCAGUUCACCCAAAGAGGAUUAGUUUUGACACUAAACAGAGCAAGGCACACUUUUGAAGAAAUGUGUGUCUUCUAAUAACCAGUUGUAUUAAUCGUACUGUAGAUUGGGAUAGUGAGGAAGAAAGGGGUAAAGAAAUUAACUAAAAACAUAAACUCAGAGGCAACACCAUAAAUACAUACCCCAUAAAUAAGGCUCUUCUUGACACCUUUAAAGCUCUAAGGGAAAUAAGAACAAUGCUUAUAUUUAGAUGAAGCUUUUUUCCAACUAGUUCAAAACUCUUUAAAAGAAAUCCCCAUAGUCUCUGUUAUAUGAAAGUUAAAU
rnacentral:lncRNA from 1 species